rnacentral:ncRNA from 1 species
CUUAUUGCGAGUGGUGGAGGGACUAGGCCCUGUGAAACCCGGCAACCUGCAAGUUUGCAAGGUGCUAAAUCCUACGGUACUACCGAGAGAUAAG